AGUGAACGCUGGCGGUAGGCCUAACACAUGCAAGUCGAACGGCAGCACAGUAAGAGCUUGCUCUUACGGGUGGCGAGUGGCGGACGGGUGAGGAAUACAUCGGAAUCUACUUUUUCGUGGGGGAUAACGUAGGGAAACUUACGCUAAUACCGCAUACGACCUACGGGUGAAAGCAGGGGAUCUUCGGACCUUGCGCGAUUGAAUGAGCCGAUGUCGGAUUAGCUAGUUGGCGGGGUAAGGGCCCACCAAGGCGACGAUCCGUAGCUGGUCUGAGAGGAUGAUCAGCCACACUGGAACUGAGACACGGUCCAGACUCCUACGGGAGGCAGCAGUGGGGAAUAUUGGACAAUGGGCGCAAGCCUGAUCCAGCCAUACCGCGUGGGUGAAGAAGGCCUUCGGGUCGUAAAGCCCUUUUGUUGGGAAAGAAAAGCAGCAGGUUAAUACCCCGCUGUUCUGACGGUACCCAAAGAAUAAGCACCGGCUAACUUCGUG
rnacentral:rRNA from 1 species